rnacentral:lncRNA from 8 species
AUGGGCUUCCCAGAAACACUUGGUCUACCAGGAGACACUCUGACGCACACACCACGACCUGGCUGGGAUCAGCAAGGCCUCAUCCUGCCGUUACUAUACCUGCACACACCUAUGCAGGCACGCAGUGAGAGGCCUUGGCAUUUCAACCACCACAACAAGGCUGUGACCUUUGCAGCCAUCUCCACCUCCUGCCAUCCCUACUGGGUUUUGAAGGGACUGAAGCCUGUUGUUUUCGUUUGUAGCACUUCAUUCGAAGGAUACCUACAAGGAUUUCAUAUCCCGUUCCUAAGCAGUACACGUUUAUAUAUGUGUUAACAGCACACUGCUGCUAAUAUACUGCAACCCACAAGGGUACAUGAAGACGCAAUGGCUAAAUGUGGUGUAAGUUUCGGGAAGCAUCUGGUUUUGAACAUGAUUGGAUGUAUAAACAGUUUGUGAUGUGAUCUGAGAACAGCUUGAUCAUAAACAUAUGUCCAGACCAGUACAUACUGUAUGGUUAUUCAGUUAGGGGGGGAAUUCAGACCCGAGAUUAAGCGCGUGUAAAUGGAACAUAAUUCCUUUUGAAUGCGCUUUUCUCUCUAUGUGUAUUCUGACCUUGAAUUUAAGCAUGAGAAUAGCAUGCCAUUCACACGCUAUUCGUUUGAGGUGGAGCUGGAUUAAAUGAAGGUGUGGCAGAGGUGUGUCUACAGAUACACCGUAUUCUGACCUCGACUUAACCCUCCCGUUGUGUUCGUUUCAUGUUAAUUAAUUAUGCAUUCCCGGUCCAAAAUGACCGCCCCAUUAUAGCUGAUUAUAAAUCCAUAAUAAUUCAUAUAUUAUCACCUAGUGUUGCGUUAGAUCUUUUUAUCAACUUAAGUUCUUCUGAACAGUUCUUGUGUUCAUUCUUGUGAACAAGUUUUGAACUUCUAUUUGCUAUUUAUGACCUGUAGGCCUCAUUGACCUGAGCUCAUACAACAAAUUUUUGAGUAAAAAAAAGUAUAAUGUAUGGAUUAUUUUGACUAUAAGAAAUACUCAGAUGAAAGAUAAUGUGCUAUUUAUCACAGACUACUUUGUGUCAAAGUUUAACAAGGACUCUCUCCUCCUCACCAGUGUCAUGAUUAAAGAUAUGAUCAAGAGCCUCACAUACAGUAUAUCGUUUGGUCAUUGUGCUGCCACAGAAUGAAUUGUGAGCAAGGCCUCAAAAAAGCUUUAUAUACCAGAGCUGCAAGAAAAGUUCUAUAUAUCAUUGAAACAAUGUUGCGAUUGUUUGUGAGAAUGCCAACAGGUGUGGUUCCCGUGGGGGAAAGAUUCUAUUGGGGAAAGGUUCUCGUGGGGUUUGACAUGGAAGCCAAGAAGGGGUGAGGUGUGUGUGUGUGUGUGUGUGUGUGUGUGUGUGUGUGUGUGUGUGUGUGUGUGUGUGUGUGUGUGUGUGUGUGUGUGUGUGUGUGUGUGUGUGUGUGUGUGUGUGUGUGUGUGUGUGUGUGUGUGCUCAAACACACAUGCAUGUGGGUGUCUGGAAGAGGAAGUGUGUCCAUCUGAUGAAUGGGCAUGUGCCUGAACUCAAUUUUAUACACUAAUUGUAGUCUCACCCAUUCAUUUCUAAUGACCUGUCAUUUUUGACCCGGAACACCACAGGUGUACAAAAGUUAAAUAAAACACCCAAAAUGUAAUGAAAAUCAUCAAAAUGUAUUUUGUGUGUUCAGAUGCCCUGUGCGGGCUAAGUUAUGGAACCUUAUGACAAUCAGAUUAAAUGAACUGCAUUUUUCAGAGAGAAAACUUGUAAAUCGUUCCAAUUCGACCAGAACACAGCAGGAGGGUUAAAUCCCCAAAAUUCCGUCAGUUUUACAUGUGAGGAAACCAUGAUUAAGAUCUAGCACGCCUACAGGUUCGAAGUGGAAAAAGCAUCUACUUUACACCAUUCUCCAUGCACUGUAAUUUACAACUUGAUCAAAUCUAUUGAUAAGAUCUAGGAAAAUGAGUAAUCCGUUUGGAUAAAGGGAUUGAUUGCAAAUAUAAAUGGCACUUGUUUUAGGUAUAUUUUACCGUAUGAUCAACGUGAACGUGAAACCAGUCAUGGCAGCAAACUGAAACAUGUCAACAUAUCAACUUUCCCACAGUAAAGUUUAUAAAACGCUGUGCCAUUAUGCAGAAUUUAAAUUGUAUGGCCUUCAAUAUUGCAGGGGUGGGCACUCUCG